UUUUCUUACAUGAAUGAUGUCACAAAUGAAAAGUAGUCCUCAAAUUUCAGGCAUCAUCAGUUGCAUUGAGUUAUAGGAGCCUGGAAAUAUUUUUCAGUUGGAAUUAAUACCAUAUGACAUUUAUUUUCAUAUGACAAACCAUAGAAAUUGACGAAACAGCCUUAAAGGCUAGAGACCAUUACUAAUAGGAGCCUUGGAACCAAUAUGAUAAAAUGCCUUGUUAAAAUUAAAGAAUGAUACUAUAUGGAUGUAUGUGAAAUUAACUCUUGAAAAUAAAUAUCAAAUUGAAGAUUGUAUCAUGUUACUAAAAUAUCAACUUUAGUAGACGACCUGAUCUUCGAUAUGAUGUAUGAAUGUCAAAAUUCAAGAGUACUAAUCUAUACCCCCCUGCACUCAUUAUACAUUGCCUUCAACAAAUAUAAAAAUUUUGUUUACCCUCCAAUUUGGGGUAUUUUCAGGUUAUCCAUGGCUAGAAAAAGUUUUUAUGUUGUGAAGAGAGGUCGACGAUGUGGUAUUUUUAAUAAUAGGGAGGAAUGCAAAUAUCAGGUCGAUAAGUUCCCAAAUGCCUCCUACAAAGGGUAUGCAACAUACGAAGAGGCUUUGAUUGAAUGGGAGAAGCACACACUCGCUCGUGAUUCAGCAUCAAGCUCGAGGCCUGUCCAAACAUCCGUUUAUGCUCAAGAACGAAGAUAUCCAGUGAGCCAUAAUCUGGAUGUGGACAAGGAAAAACUUGGGGAAACUUCUAUUUUCUCUAUCUAUGCUUUUGUAUUAGGUUCAUUGUUUACAAUAUUAGUAUUUCUAGUAUGUAUCGUUGCGGUAUUUGUUGGUUUCUCUAUUGCAAAAAACAUAUGAUGUAAUUUGUGGCUGAGCUUGAAUUGGUUUGAUAUGUA